rnacentral:lncRNA from 1 species
CAAAUAACCAAGAACCGGGAGCUGAAUGUGAGAGGUGGGCUCCAAAGGAUUCGGCCACCAAGGUGGAGAAGGAAAUAUACAUUUUCUAGAGCCCAAUCUGCCAGGAGAGAUCUAAGAGAUUACAAAGGAAAAAACUUGAAAUUCUGAGGACAGAGAAAAGAAAAAGGAAGAGUUAAUGACUAGUGAGACACCAUCAUGUAGACUGGUGCCACAUGGAAUCUGGGGCAACAGAACAUGAUCUAUCCAGAUGGACAUACAGGGAAAGCUGGUGCUGGGAAGCACCUUAAGCUACAUGAUUGCAAUAAAUUUUGCUCACCAGUGA